rnacentral:rRNA from 1 species
AUUGAACGCUGGCGGCAGGCCUAACACAUGCAAGUCGAACGAGUGGCGGACGGGUGAGUCAUGUCUGGGAAACUGCCCGAUGGAGGGGGAUAACUACUGGAAACGGUAGCUAAUACCGCAUACCAUCAGAUGUGCCCAGAUGGGAUUAGCGUGUUGGUGGGGUAACGGCUCCACAAGGCGACGAUCCCUAGCUGGUCUGAGAGGAUGACCAGCCACACGGGAACUAAGACACGGUCCAGACUCCUACGAGAGGCAGCAGUGGGGAAUAUGGCACAAUGGGCGCAAGCCUGAUGCAGCCAGGCCGCGUGUAUGAAGAAGGCCUUCGGGUUGUAAAGUACUUUCAGCGGGGAGGCGUUACCCGCAGAAGAAGCACCGGCUAACUCCGUGCCAGCCGCCGCGGUAAUAC